CCUACGGGAGGCAGCAGUGGGGAAUAUUGCACAAUGGGGGAAACCCUGAAGCAGCGAAGCCGCGUGCGUGAAGAAGGAUCUCGGGAUGUAAAGCUCUAUCAGCAGGGAAGAAAAUGACGGUACUUGAUUAAGAAGCCGCAGCUAACUACGGGCCAGCAGCCGCGGUAAUACGUAGGAGGCAAGCGUUAUACGGAGUUACUGGGUGUAAAGGGCGCGUAGACGGCAGCACAAGUCUGGAGUGAAAUGCCGGGGCUGAACCCUGGAACUGCUUUGGAAACUGGGCAGCUAGAGUGCAGGGGAGGUAAGCGGAAUUCCUGGUGUAGCGGGGAAAUGCGUAGAUAUUAGGAGGAACACCAGUGGCGAAGGCGGCUUACUGGAGUGCAACUGACGUUGAGGCUCGAAAGCGUGGGGAGCAAACAGGAUUAGAUACCCCUGUAGUC
rnacentral:rRNA from 1 species